rnacentral:rRNA from 1 species
GUGGAUUAGUUACCCCAGUAGUCCACGCCAUAAACGAUGGAUGCUAGCCGUUGGUGGGUUUACCCUUCAGUGGCGCAGCUAACGCAUUAAGCAUCCCGCCUGGGGAGUACGGUCGCAAGAUUAAAACUCAAAGGAAUUGACGGGGGCCCGCACAAGCGGUGGAGCAUGUGGUUCAAUUCGAAGCAACGCGAAGAACCUUACCAGCCUUUGACAUCCCGGUCGCGAGCACCAGAGAUGGAGCUCUUCAGUUCGGCUGGACCGGAGACAGGUGCUGCAUGGCUGUCGUCAACU